CGAAAGCUGCGGUGCCUGAGCCGCUGGGAUUUCUCUUCCUCCGCUUACUCGUCCUGUGGUUUGGGGCAGACUUUUCCCAGGCUUGAGGUUUCCGAGGCCAGGCCCAAACUUUAUUACCUAUUUCCUUUACCUCUCUUGUUGUUUUGGGUAAAGGAUGACAUUAUGCAGCUUCCACUGCUUCUCGUGGCCUAAUUAUCUCUGCCGAAGACACAGUUACUUUCACAUGCCCAAAGUCCUCCCACGAAGGAACUGGUACUAGAUAUGAUGGCCGGAGUCUGUUGAGAAGCAUCAGGCUCUGUCUGACCUGGGACGUUUUUGUCACUGUGCUCUUCCAUUGAUCCAGUGUGUCAGUUAAUUGUAUGGCCAGUGAACUGAUUUGGGGGGAAGAGCUCAGACUGACAUGGUUAUAUACUGCUGUUCCUGCCAGGGACCGCCUCAAACACCAUCAUACGGGGGCGUAGGCAGGUGCUGGUCCUGAUCUGGUUUCUAUUAGGACUCAGCCAUCAAAGACCAAUGAAAGCCUAUGGUGCUGAAUGAUGUACGAGGUGUUUAAGGGAUGAGAAUAAUACGACACGUGGUUUCUGACAUCCAGAAGAUUAUCAUUCAGUAGGUAAGCCGAAGUGACCAACAUAUGACAGGGAACAGGUUUUGAGUAUAAUAUUGCAGAGCUAUGGCUAUUUGAAUGCUUAUUUAGGCAUCCUUCUAGAAAGAAUUGAAAUGUAGCC